rnacentral:rRNA from 1 species
GACGAACGCUGGCGGCGUGCCUAACACAUGCAAGUCGAACGGGACUGAUUGGAAAGCGGGCUUCGGGCCAAUGGAAGAUCAGUUUAGUGGCGAACGGGUGAGUAACACGUGAGGAACCUGCCUUUCAGUGGGGGACAACAGUUGGAAACGACUGCUAAUACCGCAUAAUGUACUAUAGGGGCAUCCCUUAAGUACCAAAGCUUUAUGUGCUGAAAGAUGGCCUCGCGUCUGAUUAGAUAGUUGGUGGGGUAACGGCCUACCAAGUCAACGAUCAGUAGCCGGUCUGAGAGGAUGAACGGCCACAUUGGGACUGAGAUACGGCCCAGACUCCUACGGGAGGCAGCAGUGGGGAAUAUUGGGCAAUGGGGGAAACCCUGACCCAGCAACGCCGCGUGAAGGAAGAAGGCCCUCGGGUUGUAAACUCUUUUAGCAGGGACGAAGAACGUGACGGUACCUGCAGAAAAAGCAACGGCUAACUACGUG